CACGGCGUGGCGAUAGCACGUUGAAUACACUAGAUCCCGAUGAAUCACUGAAGUUAAGCAACGUUGAGCGUGGUUGGUACCGGGAUGGGUGACUAGCUGGGCAAUCGUGUCCUGCUGGAU
rfam:Asian citrus Psyllid, Diaphorina citri - Florida Strain, whole genome shotgun sequence.